UUUUAUGUAACGACAGAACAAAAUCUAGUCCAUAAAAAUAUUAAAAUGCUGGUCCUUAUACUUUAUUGAGAAAAAGAACCACUUAAUUAUGCAUCCAGAAAAAUAAAAAUAAAAAUCGUAAAAAAAUGCGAGACUUAAACUCCACUCAUCCUCUGAAAUCCCUACCCCAAAGGGCCUAAAACCUCUCAAAUUCAUCUGCAAAAGAACGACUCUCCGCCCUCUGAAUUUUUUUCUCAACCUUAAAUCUCUUUAUUAAAGGUGCAAUUUCUCAGGUUUGUUCUUUCUUAUCUUUCAAUCUGCUUACUUUUUUUUGUUUAUUUAGUACUGAAGCUUCUAGUAGUUCUUAUUUAUUUUUUGAAAUUCUCUGUUCGUGGUUUAGGAUCUCCUUAAAGUAGUUUUCAGUGUCAUUCGAAAUAGAUUUUUAGUUUAUUUGUCAUCGUUUGUUUCUCGUAUUGGGUCGACGAAUAGAAGUUAGGGUUUUCUUGGCUUUUCUAGAUCUGGUUAUUCAGGAUUGGUCUAUUGAAGUUUUUUCUAUGUUUGGAUUCUAUCCUUUUGUGAACUUAUAGUUAGUGAAAAUUCAAGCUUAGGAGUUCCCCGCUGUUGCCCAUUUCUAAAAUCCAAAAACCGGACCUGACUGCCGCUUCAUCAUUUCCGACGGACUCAUCGUGCUAAAAUCCAUCGGUGGCGGAUCAAAAUCGGAUUUGGCCGAUAUCUUUCGUCCCCAUUCUCUCCAGGCUUCAUCUUCCUUAUCGUCAACGACGUCGUCGAGAUCGUCGGUGAUUCGGAUUCUCCGUUGAGCUCGACGGGCAAAUCGGUAAAUAAUUCCAGUUUCAGUGGCAAGUAAUAACAGCACCAACGAAUAACUGAGUUUAGGAGUUCAACUGCACCACGUAAUCCUUUCAGAACGCUAGAUUUGUUGUAGCAAUACAAGGUCGCUUUAUAAAAUUAGUUCAUCUACUUGUGGCUCCUUCUUGCCAUAGCUUGGCUAGGCAGAAUGAAGCUCUAUCGCAAGAAAUUCAUCUACUUAAUUCACUGUCAAAUAGAAAGGAAAAAUACAUACCUAUUUCUAUGGCUGGAAAUUGAUAACCUUAACAGUUUGGUUGUUUUGUACUUCAAAUUGUUGUUUAAUUUUGCUUUUGUUGGUUCAGUGAUUUGAAUGGUGAGUGAUGUGUUUUAUGAGAUUGAUGUCCUAUUCAAGGCUGGAUUUCUAUUAUAAAAAUUGUGAAUGAACCCGAUUGAGGAUGAAAAAUCUAGUCGCAUUUCCCACUCCAUGAGAGGUUCUUUCUCAUGACUUUGUAGUUGUUUUCUUGAUUUAGGGGUAAAAAUAUAAUGUUUAUGGUUAUAUUCACAUUUAUUAGAGAAGAAGGGUGAACUUUAAUGAGUUGUAGGUAUUUAUUUUUUUCUUUCUAUUCAUUACAUAUAGCUUCUGACAUUAGGAGUAUAAAAAGAAUAGAUGUAUGAUGGACAUAGUAAAUUUGUUCCAGAAGAUGCUCACUUUUGAGCAAUUAAAAGCUUUUGAAAAAUGUACAUGUGAGCUUGUUAAAUAAUUCUAACAUCUAUGUUCCAUUCCCUUUCUUUGUCAUAGCAAACAUCUAUUAUUUUUCUAAGCUAGAAGGGAACAGUUAGCAAUCAUUAGAACCUUUAUCUGUUUGAAUAAGGAAACUCUUAGAGUUAUAUGCAUACGAAAACCUUAGAAGCUCAAAAGCAGAGAUACAAAACAAUGAGACCAUUUUUUUGCUAACUAGUAAGAUUAUUUAGUUGAAAUUGCUGCUUCAUUAAAACACAUAAAUCAAGAUCAUGUAAGUCCUAUUGAUUCUAACUCAAGUAUGAAUUCCAUUAUCCUUUAUCUUGAAUCAUUACUGGUUUAGUUUGAGCAAUGGUUUUUCGGACUUAUUUUCUUAUUUUGGUAGUAUUAGAAUAUGAUAUGGCGGGUAGUAACCUCAUCAUCUUGCAAAAGUUUUGGAGAACCACUAUAAGAAUGAUUGCUUUAUAACCAAUGUAAGAUGGCACUUUGUGAUUUACAAUUGGUUGUUUUAUAUGUUAUAUGAAUCUCGAUAUUUAGAUGCUAAUGUAAAAAUGAGUCAACUACAAAUAAAAAGUGAAUCCUAGUGAUUAAAUGUAUGCGUUAGUUACAUUUGAAGUGAAUGAACUUUUAUGAACCUGGAAUAUCCAAAUUUUUAUAUUACUGAUUCGUUCUCUUGGGUUCCGCCAUGGUGAUGAAAAAAUAUGGCCGAUAUAUCACUAAUGUUGAGAGAAGAUUGUAUCGUUUAUCUAUGCCAAUGAUAUUUUAAACUAUAACUUUGUUCUUUAGGCUAAGUGUUACCUUAUUUCGAAGGAUUUAGUUUUUGUGAAGGCAAAGUUUUAUAUUUUGUUUACAUUUGGAUGUUAUUUUUUCUUUUUUCCCCUAAGGGAUUGUGCAAGAAAUAUAGAUAUUUAUUCCAUGAUCGUACAGUGAUACUAAUGAGAUUCUCUAAGGGGUUAUGUAACCAUUAUAGUGACUUGUACUAUGGUCAUAUAAUGACACUAAUGAGAUGUUAGUAUAAUACUUGUAAUUAACUUUCAGAUAUUGUUGAAUUUUAUUGAUAUUCAUUUGUUUUUAUGGAUUAUAAACUUCAUAGUAUUUAAUAUUACAUAAUCAAAAAAAUCAUAGAUUUAUUAUGGUCUAUAUAUCACUUUUAGGACUUGAUUUUUAGUUCCUAUAGACAUUGGGGAACAAUUGACAUCUUGUGGAUAAGGUGUUUAGGGACCAGAAAUAAGGUCUCUAGAAUGUGUUUCUAGGGGCCAGAAGGUCGCCGGUCAUUAAAAUAUUUAGGGACCAGUGAAAAAACCUCGUCGUUAUUGACCUUUGGAGGCGGAGGCAAUUGCGACGAGUCAUGACCAGAUUUCGACGGUCGCUAUUGAUGUUUAGAGACUAGAAAUGGACUUUUAGGGACUAGAUUUCCCUUCGCUAAAGGUCAAUUUUCUUGUAGUGAUAGUCAAAUAUAGUAGCCUCCCUACCCGUCUUUGGUAAGGUUCAGGAUCACCAAGAAUGCUGUCAUCUCUAAUGGAACACCCCACAGCUUCAUCAAAUUCUACUGUUGUUAGCCUUUGAUGACACUUUAAUGGAGUAGAUACUGAUUUAGCUCCCCCUAACCCAGAGUCGGCCAAUCAAGUCAAUAGCAUAUUUUCUUUCGUUCAUCAAGAUGCCAGCUUUACUCCGAUCAAACUCUAUACCCAGAAAGAACCUGAGCUCCAUUGCCAGUAACUAAAAGGCCAUCUAUAUAGACCAACACAAGCACUAAGAUUGAGCCUUGUUGCUGUAUGAAUAAAAAGUAGUCAAAAUGGUUUUGAACAAAGCCCAGGUCUUGAAGAGCCUCUGCUAACUUUAGGUUCAAUUGUGUAGAAGCUUGUUUCAAACCAUAGAGUGACUUCUUUAGUUUGCGGACUUUGGACUUGGACUCCCCCUUGGUAGUGUAUCCUUGUGGAAGUUGCAUGUAUACUUCUUCAAAGAGAUUCCCUUAUAAGAAAGCAUUAUGCACAUACAUUUGAUAGAUGCACCAAUGCUUAGAGGCUGUCAUAGCAGUAAUUGAUCUGACUGUAACCACCUUAGCCACUAGGGAGAAAGUUUCCUUAUAGUCCAGGCCUUCCUAUUGUCUAAAGUCUUUGGAAACAAGCGUGGCCUUGAACCUCUCCACCUCUCUAUUGGCUUUAUAUUUCACCUUCUAUACCCAUUUACACCCUAUGCGAGUCUUGCAUGCAGGCAAGUCUACAAUGUCCCAUGUGCUAUUUUCUUCAAAGGCUUCCACUUCUUGCUGCAUGGUUGUCACCCAUCUAGCAUCUCUUGCAGCUUCAACAUAGUGUUUUGGCUCUAUAACUAAAGAUUGUGCUAAGAGACACAUUGCAUAGGAAAGGGACAAGUUAUCAUACUUCAGAUAGUUUGUCAUUGGAUAUGCACGGGAAGCUGAGACAAAGUCCUGCAUCCACUUUGGAGGACCUGCAGUUCUGGGAUAUUUUCUGAUUGCAAUAGGUAAUGUGUCAGUGGUACCUUGGUAUUGUGAGAUAUUCUCAGUAGCUUCACCAAUUGAUGGAGUGAGAAUAUCAAGUAAAGUGUCUGCUUCUUCACACAUUUCAUUAACAUUCUGGAUUUUACCAAUAUCUGGAAAUUCAUCAUAUAUAGGCUGAGAUACAUCAUGUAUGGGUGGCACAUCAAUUGCAUUAGCUUGUUCAAGGACUAGAAAAAUAGCAAAGGAAGACACCUUUAUGUGCUUGAAAGGAAAAAUCUUCUCUUUGAAGAUCACAUCUCUAUUGACCGGGAAUUGCUUAGAUUGCAAAUCAUAUAACUUUUAUCCUUUCUUAGUAUGUGAGUAUCCCAUAAAGACAGCAGGCAGUGCCCUAGUUAAAAAUUUAUCCUGUCUUCUCGCACUCAUAGCAUAUCAUAAACAUCCAAAGACCUUUAAAUGCUCGAGGAAAGGUGGAGUAUCAAAAAAUAUCUCAUAGGGAGACUUCCCCUUCAGAAUUGUGGAAAGUAUUCUGUUUAUAAUGUGCACAGCUGUGAGACCCCAAAAUCUUAGUGGAAUUGCAUCUUGAAACCUCAAAGCCCUUGCCACCUCCAAUAUAAAUCUAUGUCUCCUUUCUACAACACCAAUAUGUUGUGGAUUAUAUAAUCAUGUAGUCUGAUGAAUGAUCCCCUAUGAUUCUAAGAAUUACCUUAUAUCAAAGUUAACAAAUUCUAACCCAUUGUUAGUUCUUAUUGUCUUGAUAUGACAGUUAAACUAUGUAUGAAUCAUACAAAUAAACCUCUUCAACAAGCAAUAGGUUUCAUCCUUAGCAUUCAUUAAAAAUAACCAAGUAGAUCUAGAAAAAUCAUCUUUUACUGUAAGGAAGAAUCUUUUAUUAUCAUGAAUAGGUACUCUAUAGGGUCUUCAUACAUCUGCAUGUAAAAGAUAAAAAUGAGCAUGUGCUCCACUCUUACUGACUAGAAAUGGCAAUUUAGUUUCCUAGCUAACGGACAAAAUGGACAUUCUAAACAAUCAAUAGCCGAUCUAUCAUUUCCAAAUUGCUGCUUGAGCUUGUCAACUCUCUUUAAUGCCUUCAUAGGUAGAUUUCCAAGCCUCUGAUGCCAAAUUCCCAUCUUUGUUGAACUCUAAUUUUUUUUUUUUGUGUUGAAGUCUGCAUAGCUGUGGUAUGUACAAUUGGUGUAUUCAAUUGUGUCUUCUGAAUGCAAUCUUUAAGAAUGUAGAGCCCGUUUGAUUCACUACCAAUCCCUAACACCUUGUUACUAUAGAGAUCCUGAAACACACAUAGGUCAGGGGAAAAAGCUACCAAGCAUUGUAGUUCUUUAGUGAGUUUUGAAACUAACAAUAGGUUGUACUUCAAAUGAGAAACAUGAAGUACAUCACUAAUUUUAUGAUCCUUGAAAAUAUUAGUUGAACCACUGUUGGCAAGCUAAGCUAAUUCUCCAUUUGGUAAGUGAAUUGAACGACCUUUAUUUAAUGAAACUGCUUUAUGCAGUAAAUCUAACCUUGGAGCCAUAUGAUUGGAUGCUACGCUAUCUACAAUCCAAACACCUUAAUUUAGAAAAGUCAUUAAGGAUGUAACAGUACAUGUUUCCAGCUCUACUACAUUAGCUAGAACAUCUGUGGGCUUACUGUAGAGUAAUUGCAGGAUUUGUUUGUAUUGUUCCGGUAUGAAGUUUGGUGCAGUGGAAGUGGAGUGAAGGUUACUGGUGCCAUGCUGUUCAGUCGCCAUAUUAGUUGUUUCUUGAGGGUUGUAUUUCUUCUUGAACUUGUGAUCAUUUGGAUAUCCUACUAGUUUGUAGCAUAUGUCCCUAGGAUGAUCUUUCAAUUUGAAGUAAUCACAGUAGAUAUUGUAAUUCUUCUUUAGCUUUUGCUAAUUUCCAACCCUAUUUCUCAACAAGCCAACCAUUUCAC
rnacentral:lncRNA from 1 species